rnacentral:lncRNA from 1 species
CACACGAUAAGCACUGGGAUGAAAUGCCCUCUUGCCGAGUGACGAAGCAGUGGCAGCAGCUGCGGCCCUCUCUUCAGUGAGGAAUUCACAGUCCAAUGGAAGGACAAAAUAUGCAAACCAACAAUCUCAACUGGCUUCUAUAAGUGCUAUGAGAUGCCAGAGAAAGUUCUUAGCUUCGCCUGGAGGGACUCAGGAUAAGUUUCCUGGCAGAGACGCCACCUGGACCAAACAUUGAAAGUUGGCAGUGUGUAACUCGUGUUGGUGACAGACAUGAUAGAGACAGUGAGAGCGGCUGCCUUUGAAGCCAUCAUUGCAACCUGC